rnacentral:tRNA from 1 species
GAGGUUAUAGCUCAGUGGUAGAGUGCAUGCUUUGCAAGCACAAGGUCCUGGGUUCAAUCCCUACUACCUCC